AGGAUGAACGCUAGCUACAGGCUUAACACAUGCAAGUCGAGGGGAAACGGCAUUGAGUGCUUGCACUCUUUGGACGUCGACCGGCGCACGGGUGAGUAACGCGUAUCCAACCUUCCCAUUACUGUGGGAUAACCUGCCGAAAGGCAGACUAAUACCGCAUAGUCUUCGAUGAUGGCAUCAGAUUUGAAGUAAAGAUUUAUCGGUAAUGGAUGGGGAUGCGUCUGAUUGGCUUGUUGGCGGGUAACGGCCCACCAAGGCGACGAUCAGUAGGGGUUCUGAGAGGAACGGUCCCCCACAUUGGAACUGAGACACGGUCCAAACUCGUACGGGAGGCAGCAGUGAGGAAUAUGGUCAAGUGGAACGGAAGUCUAGGAACCAGACCAAGUAGCGGUGCGAAGGAACGACCGGCCUAGUUGGGUUACGUAAACUGUACUUUUU
rnacentral:rRNA from 1 species